rnacentral:rRNA from 1 species
GGUGAACGCUGGCGGCAGGCCUAACACAUGCAAGUCGAGCGGCAGCGGGUUCCCGCGAGGGGAUGCCGGCGAGCGGCGGACGGGUGAGGAACACAUCGGAAUCUGCCUGGUUGUGGGGGAUAACGUAGGGAAACUUACGCUAAUACCGCAUGCGACCCUGAGUCGACGGACUGGGGGUGAAAGUGAGGGACCUUCGGGCCGUCACGCGACCAGAUGAGCCGAUGUCGGAUUAGCAGUUGGCGGGUAACGGCCCGCCAAGGCGACGAUCCGUAGCUGGUCUGAGAGGAUGAUCAGCCACACUGGGACUGAGACACGGCCCAGACUCCUACGGGAGGCAGCAGUGGGGAAUCUUGGACAAUGGGCGCAAGCCUGAUCCAGCCAUGCCCGNGUGGGUAGAAG